GCUGAAACUUUUUCAGGGCCCACACAAUGGCCAGGCAUUCUUUCUCGAUGGCGGCAUAGCUCACUUCUCUUGCUAAAAACUUUCUACUGAUGUAUACCACUGGGUGUUCACUGUCAUCGGCCCCGACUUGGCUCAGUACUGCCCCCAAUCCAAGCAUCUGUGUGAACAAGAAAGCGUUUAGUUGGAUCAGGGGCCACCGAGACAGGAGCAUUUACAAGUGCG